UACGUAGGGGGCUAGCGUUGUCCGGAAUCAUUGGGCGUAAAGCGCGUGUAGGCGGUUCGGUAAGUCCGCUGUGAAAGUCGGGGGCUCAACCCCCGAAUGCCGGUGGAUACUGUCGGGCUAGAGUGCGGAAGAGGAUCGCGGAAUUCCCGGUGUAGAGGUGAAAUUCGUAGAUAUCGGGAGGAACACCGGUGGCGAAGGCGGCGAUCUGGGUCGAUACUGACGCUGAGGCACGAAAGCGUGGGGAGCAAACAGG
rnacentral:rRNA from 1 species